rnacentral:rRNA from 1 species
UUAGGAAUCUUCCACAAUGGGCGAAAGCCUGAUGGAGUGACACCGCGUGAAGGAUGAAGCCUUUACUGGCGUAAACUUCUUUUCUCAGGGACGAUAAUGACGGUACCUGAGGAAUAAGGGGUUGCCAACUACGUGCCAGCAGCAGCGGUAAUACGUAGGCCCCGAGCGUUAUCCGGAAUUACUGGGCGUAAAGAGUCUGUAGGUGGGAAGGUAAGUCUAACAUGAAAUGCCGGGGCUCAACCCCGCGCCCGUGUUGGAAACUGUCUUUCUUGAACGGCUAAGAGGGAAGCGGAACGGUGGGAGUAGGGGUGCAAUCCGUUGACACCCACCAGAACACCAAAAGCGAAGGCAGCUUCCUGGGAGCCUGUUGACACUGAGAGACGAAAGCGUGGGGAGCGAAAAGG